UAAUUGGUGAUAAGUCCCUGAUUUGAGGAUCUCCCCAUCUGACAUCAGCUGCAGCAAACAACAAUUUUGAUCAAGAAAUGAUUAAUUAAGGUCUGAUAAAACUAUUACAAGACAGACUUCAAGGACCAGGGAACACAGAAAAUCUAUGCAGGAAGAAAGCUACACUGAACAUCAGGGGAGUGAUGGUUGACUCACCAAACAGCAAUGAAAUGCAGGAAGAAAAUCAACUUGAUGUGUCACAAGGUCGAAGGGUUACAUUAAAGAGGCUAGUUGCAGUUUGUGCAUCAACAGCACUGAAUGGAUCAUCUAACAGGUAAAUAUCAGCAUCUUGGUAUAAUGCACGAGCAAGUUGGAUUCGUUGCUUUUGGCCACCACUUAGAUUAACUCCUCUUUCACCUAUUUCUGUCAAGUCACCGAAUGGAAGAAGCUCGAGGUCCUUCUUCAAUGAACACCUUCGGAGAGUUUCUUGGUACCUUAUCUCAUCCAUGGAAGACCCAAAAAGAAUGUUGUCACGUAUUGUCCCUGUUUGGAUCCAAGCUGUCUGGGAAACAUAAGCUAUACUCCCAUAAACUCCAACCUGAAAAACCAAACCAGUUAAGAGCCUUUGGAUAUUCGCUUAUCCAUGUGUAAACCUAAACAAUAUAUGCUCUACACUAGUAGAGCUGGCAAAAGCUGACCCAACCCGCCAACCCGUCUCGAACCCAACCCAAUAAUAAAGGGUAAGGUCAAGAUUUUCAACCCCUUUAACUAAAUGGGUCAACCCAACCUGUUUAAUUAAAUAGGUUGGGUCGGGUUGGAAUUUCAACCCGAAAGCAAUCCACCUAACCCAUAUAACUAAUUGUCAAGUCAACCCUCAUAAAAAAUAAAAAAUAAAAAUUGAGUCUUUUUAGCUUCUUACAAAUUAUAACUAAUAUCUAGCAACAUCCGAUACUUAUUUUUCUCUCUCUAUACAUAUUAGAGUAUUAGUUUUUUUGCUAAGAGAUUUGCCUCGAAAUAAUGAUCCCUGUAGUUAUAAAUUCCGGUCAAUAUACACUUGAACGGAAAAAAAAAACUUAAACGGGUCAACUUUAGGUCAACCCGUUUAUAAUCAGGUCGGGUUGGGUUGAGACUUUCAACCCGUAAACAGGUCGGGUUGGGUUGAGAAAAUCUCAACCUGUUUAUAAAUGGGUCGACCUGAUUCCGACCCAACCCAACCCAACCCAUCGACAAC